UACGGAGGGUGCGAGCGUUGUCCGGAAUCAUUGGGCGUAAAGGGUGCGUAGGUGGCCCGGUCAGUUUGUGGUGAAAGCGCGGGGCUCAACUCCGCGUCGGCCAUGAAUACUGCUGGGCUGGAGCACUGUAGAGGCAGGCGGAAUUCCGGGUGUAGCGGUGGAAUGCGUAGAGAUCCGGAAGAACACCGGUGGCGAAGGCGGCCUGCUGGGCAGUUGCUGACACUGAGGCGCGACAGCGUGGGGAGCAAACAGG
rnacentral:rRNA from 1 species